AGUGAACGCUGGCGGUAGGCCUAACACAUGCAAGUCGAACGGCAGCACAGUAAGAGCUUGCUCUUACGGGUGGCGAGUGGCGGACGGGUGAGGAAUACAUCGGAAUCUACUUUUUCGUGGGGGAUAACGUAGGGAAACUUACGCUAAUACCGCAUACGACCUACGGGUGAAAGCAGGGGAUCUUCGGACCUUGCGCGAUUGAAUGAGCCGAUGUCGGAUUAGCUAGUUGGCGGGGUAAAGGCCCACCAAGGCGACGAUCCGUAGCUGGUCUGAGAGGAUGAUCAGCCACACUGGAACUGAGACACGGUCCAGACUCCUACGGGAGGCAGCAGUGGGGAAUAUUGGACGAUGGGCGCAAGCCUGAUCCAGCCAUACCGCGUGGGUGAAGAAGGCCUUCGGGUUGUAAAGCCCUUUUGUUGGGAAAGAAAAGCAGCAGGUUAAUACCCCGCUGUUCUGACGUUACCCAAAGAAUAAGCACCGGCUAACUUCGUG
rnacentral:rRNA from 1 species